CAUUCUACAUAGGAACCGCAGCCCUCGAAGUGACUUCAAGGCAGUGGAUAGAAUAAGGACUAUAUCAACAGCGAGCUUGGACUUUCACAGAAGAUAGUUCCUGUGCCUGGGAAGGACUGGAGGGAAGAAAGGAUUAAUGGAGGUGAGGGAUUAUCGGAUCUCGGAGGAUUAGGAAGAGGACUUACGAAGAGGCGGAUGAAAAUAGGAAUUCUCUUAACGACGGAUGCGAGCUUUCUGUGGACCAUGAAUAGAAUACGAAGGCUUGGACAACCAAACGUCAGAAACAGAUCAUAGACGUGGGCAGCUGACUGUGAGGGCUGUCGAUUCACGGAUUACAUCGCUCAGAUUUGUAUCAAACCUCAUUUUUCUUUCAUCCUGUUGAAUAGGAAAUGGAUUGCAUUUUUGAAGAAAUGCAGCCAUUGUGAUUGUGUACCCCCACCCCCUUA